GGCUCAGGAUGAACGCUAGCGACAGGCUUAACACAUGCAAGUCGAGGGGCAGCACAGGUAGCAAUACCGGGUGGCGACCGGCGCACGGGUGAGUAACGCGUAUGCAACUUACCUAUCAGAGGGGGAUAACCCGGCGAAAGUCGGACUAAUACCGCAUGAAGCAGGGGCCCCGCAUGGGGAUAUUUGCUAAAGAUUCAUCGCUGAUAGAUAGGCAUGCGUUCCAUUAGGCAGUUGGCGGGGUAACGGCCCACCAAACCGACGAUGGAUAGGGGUUCUGAGAGGAAGGUCCCCCACAUUGGUACUGAGACACGGACCAAACUCCUACGGGAGGCAGCAGUGAGGAAUAUUGGUCAAUGGGCGUAAGCCUGAACCAGCCAAGUCGCGUGAGGGAUGAAGGUUCUAUGGAUCGUAAACCUCUUUUAUAAGGGAAUAAAGUGCGGGACGUGUCCCGUUUUGUAUGUACCUUAUGAAUAAGGAUCGGCUAACUCCGUGCCAGCAGCCGCGGUAAUACGGAGGAUCCGAGCGUUAUCCGGAUUUAUUGGGUUUAAAGGGUGCGUAGGCGGCCUUUUAAGUCAGCGGUGAAAGUCUGUGGCUCAACCAUAGAAUUGCCGUUGAAACUGGGGGGCUUGAGUAUGUUUGAGGCAGGCGGAAUGCGUGGUGUAGCGGUGAAAUGCUUAGAUAUCACGCAGAACCCCGAUUGCGAAGGCAGCCUGCCAAGCCAUGACUGACGCUGAUGCACGAAAGCGUGGGGAUCAAACAGGAUUAGAUACCCUGGUAGUCCACGCAGUAAACGAUGAUCACUAGCUGUUUGCGAUACACGUGUAAGCGGCACAGCGAAAGCGUUAAGUGAUCCACCUGGGGAGUACGCCGGCAACGGUGAAACUCAAAGGAAUUGACGGGGGCCCGCACAAGCGGAGGAACAUGUGGUUUAAUUCGAUGAUACGCGAGGAACCUUACCCGGGUUUGAACGCAUUCGGACCGAGGUGGAAACACCUUUUCUAGCAAUAGCCGUUUGCGAGGUGCUGCAUGGUUGUCGUCAGCUCGUGCCGUGAGGUGUCGGCUUAAGUGCCAUAACGAGCGCAACCCUUGCCACUAGUUACUAACAGGUKAUGCUGAGGACUCUGGUGGGACUGCCAGCGUAAGCUGCGAGGAAGGCGGGGAUGACGUCAAAUCAGCACGGCCCUUACAUCCGGGGCGACACACGUGUUACAAUGGCGUGGACAAAGGGAUGCCACCUGGCGACAGGGAGCGAAUCCCCAAACCACGUCUCAGUUCGGAUCGGAGUCUGCAACCCGACUCCGUGAAGCUGGAUUCGCUAGUAAUCGCGCAUCAGCCAUGGCGCGGUGAAUACGUUCCCGGGCCUUGUACACACCGCCCGUCAAGCCAUGGGAGCCGGGGGUACCUGAAGUCCGUAACCGAGAGGAUCGGCCUAGGGUAAAACUGGUGACUGGGGCUAAGUCGUA
rnacentral:rRNA from 1 species